GCGGGUGUAGCUCAGUGGCAGAGCUCAUGCGUAGCAUGUGUGAGGCCCUGGGGUCAGACCCCAGCACCCAUC
rnacentral:tRNA from 1 species